GAGGGACGUAACACUUCUGCAUGCAGAUUCUCGCGUCGUUAACGCCCUCUUUUCACUUGCGGGCUUGUGAUUGGUCGGACCGACACAGUAUUUAAAAUACUCGACAGUGAUUGGACAGUCGCUUACACAAGCGCUUGUGUAAGGCGGCUGCAUUGAAGUUGUGUAAGGAGCAAAUAUACACCGUAGAAAACACCAAUCACACAUCAUUUCCCAAGCUCUUGAGACAAGCCACGUAUUGGAAACUCUAAAAGCGUGGAGAUGAGGAUGUGGUGUGCAUGUCUUCUGGGUUUGGCUCUGUCAGCUCUCUCUCAAGCUCAGCCCAUGUUCUCCGUCACCACGGAUACGGUUCUGCCUCCUGAUACUGUUCACAACCCCACCCAGCGGAAUUAUGGGAUGGCGGUGACGGAUGUAGAUGGAGACGGGGAUCUGGAGGUGGUGGUGGCCGGGUAUAAUGGCCCAAACCUGGUUCUGAAGUAUGACCGUACACAAAACAAGCUCGUGAACAUAGCGGUGGAUGACCGUGGUUCUCCUUACUUCGCGCUGAGAGACCCGCAGGGGAACGCCAUCGGAGUGACGGCCUGUGAUGUGGACGGAGACGGCAGAGAGGAGAUCUACUUCCUCAACACCAACAACGCCUUCUCAGGUCGGGCGACUUAUGCUGACAAACUGUUCAAGUAUCGUAACGGACGCUUCGAGGAUCUGCUCGGGGAUGACAUCAACGUGCGCAGAGGCGUGGCCAAUCGCAUGGCGGGACGCUCCGUGGCUUGUGUCGACAGAAAGGGAACAGGUCGAUACUCGAUCUACGUGGCGAACUAUGCCAGUGGUAACGUGGGUCCUCACGCGCUCAUAGAGAUGGACGAAGCUGCCAGUGACGUCGAGAAAGGCAUCAUUGCGCUGACUGAUGUUGCACCACAAGUCAACGUCAAUAAGUUCACAGGUGGCCGUGGUGUCGUUGUCGGUCCAAUCCUCAGCGACACAAGGUCUGACAUUUUUUGCGACAAUGAAAAUGGACCCAACUUCCUGUUCAAGAACAACGGUGAUGGGACCUUCACAGACGUGGCCGCCAAGGCCGGAGUUGAAGACAGAUAUCAGCACGGGAGAGGUGUGGCGCUGGCCGACUUUAACGGCGAUGGAAAAACAGACAUAGUUUACGGCAACUGGAACGGUCCACACCGCCUCUACCUGCAGGACGCCCAGCAGAGAUUCAAGGAUGUCGCCACACAGGCCUUCGCCACUCCGUCACCCAUUCGCACCGUCAUCGCUGCAGACUUUGACAACGAUCUUCAGCUUGAAGUCUUCUUUAAUAACAUCGCUUACCAAGGAAACGCCCCCAACAGGAUCUUCAGGGUGUCGAGGAAGCUGAACUCUGACCCUGAGGUCACAGAGCUGGAUGUGGGCGACGCCUCUGAGCCUCAGGGGAGGGGCACAGGCGCAACAGUGACAGACUUUGACGGUGACGGUCUGCUGGAUCUGUUCGUGGCUCACGGGGAGAGCGCCUCUCAGCCCAUCUCUGUGUUUAAGGUCAACCAGGGCUCCUCUAAUAAGUGGCUGCGUGUGGUGCCACGAACACGUUUCGGUUCGUUCGCUCGUGGAGCAAAGGUGGUGAUGUUCACGAAACACAGCGGUGCACACACUCGCAUCAUUGACGGAGGAUCAGGAUAUCUGUGUGAGAUGGAGCCUGUGGCUCACUUUGGGUUAGGAACCGAUGAGGCCACCAGCAUUGAAGUCUUUUGGCCGGAUGGUCGCUCCAUCGCUCGGCCGCUCGAGUCCACUGACAUGAACACAGUCAUUGAGAUCGCAUAUCCUAAUGAGGGGGAGGAGUCAGCGCUCACAUCUGACGCACAGGUAUGACUGCAUGCAAAUGAGGAGGUGGGGUCAAUGCACACCUUACACAGACAGUGUGGAGAGGGAUUCACAGUCAACACAAACGGCCAUUGCAUUGCGAGAGCCUGAGUAUUUUCAGCUGGACACUGAGUCAUCAUCUCGUUAAAUCAGAGCUGUGCUGUCAGAUGUCCGAUACUGAACCAGUUAUUCAACAAACUCAACCACAGAUGCAAAACCUUCGUCUUUAGUGCCAAAUAUUUCCUGUAGUGCUAUUGAAAUUGAACACUUGUACUUCAUCCAUCACAUUUCUAAGAGUAACAUGAUAGUCAGCAUUAACUAAAUCUGAAAAUGUUUACGUCAGACACACUUGUUGCUUUUCUUUGUAUUUCCUUUUUUUUUUUUUUUUACUUGUUUACUCAAAGGUGGAAUGGUGUGUGUUACUAAUAAACCCCAGUCUGUGAGUGUGA